rnacentral:rRNA from 1 species
AGUAACACGUAUCCAACCUGCCGUCUACUCUUGGACAGCCUUCUGAAAGGAAGAUUAAUACAAGGUGGCAUCAUGAGUCCGCAUGUUCACAUGAUUAAAGGUAUUCCGGUAGACGAUGGGGAUGCGUUCCAUUAGAUAGUUGGAGGGGUAACGGCCCACCAAGGCGACGAUGCGUAGCCGACCUGAGAGGGUGACCGGCCACACUGGGACUGAGACACGGCCCAG